UACGAAGGGUGCAAACGUUGUUCGGAAUUAUUGGGCGUAAAGCGCACGUAGGCGGCUUGGCAAGUCGGAUGUGAAAGCCCUCGGCUCAACCAAGGAAGUGCAUCCGAAACUGCUGAGCUUGAGUACUUAAGAGAAUCGCGGAAUUCCCGGUGUAGAGGUGAAAUUCGUAGAUAUCGGGAGGAACACCAGUGGCGAAGGCGGCGAUCUGGGAAGAUACUGACGCUGAGGUGCGAAAGCGUGGGGAGCAAACAGG
rnacentral:rRNA from 1 species